UCCUACGGGAGGCAGCAGUGGGGAAUAUUGGACAAUGGGCGCAAGCCUGAUCCAGCCAUGCCGCGUGAGUGAUGAAGGCCUUAGGGUUGUAAAGCUCUUUCACCGGAGAAGAUAAUGACGGUAUCCGGAGAAGAAGCCCCGGCUAACUUCGUGCCAGCAGCCGCGGUAAUACAA
rnacentral:rRNA from 1 species